AUCCUACGGGACGCAGCAGUGAGGAAUAUUGGUCAAUGGGCGAGAGCCUGAACCAGCCAAGUCGCGUGAAGGAUGACGGCCCUAUGGGUUGUAAACUUCUUUUGUCAGGGAGCAAUUGAGUCCACGUGUGGGCUUAGCGAGAGUACCUGAAGAAAAAGCAUCGGCUAACUACGUGCCAGCAGCCGCGGUAAUACGUAGGGAGCAAGCGUUGUCCGGAAUUACUGGGCGUAAAGGGCGCGUAGGUGGGCGCUUAAGUCAGGUGUGAAAACUCCGGGCUCAACCUGGAGACUGCACUUGAAACUGGG
rnacentral:rRNA from 1 species